GAGUUUGAUCGUGGCUCAGGAUGAACGCUAGCGGCAGGCUUAACACAUGCAAGUCGAGGGGCAUCGGGAGGGAAGCUUGCUUUCCUUGCCGGCGACCGGCGCACGGGUGAGUAACACGUAUGCAACCUGCCCUCUUCAGGGGACAACCUUCCGAAAGGGAGCUAAUCCCGCGUAUAUCGGUUUCGGGCAUCCGUUAUCGAGGAAAGAUUCAUCGGAAGAGGAUGGGCAUGCGGCGCAUUAGCUUGACGGCGGGUAACGGCCCACCGUGGCGACGAUGCGUAGGGGUUCUGAGAGGAAGGUCCCCCACACUGGUACUGAGACACGGACCAGACUCCUACGGGAGGCAGCAGUGAGG
rnacentral:rRNA from 1 species